GAUGAACGCUGGCGGCGUGCCUAAUACAUGCAAGUCGAGCGAACGGACGAGAAGCUUGCUUCUCUGAUGUUAGCGGCGGACGGGUGAGUAACACGUGGAUAACCUACCUAUAAGACUGGGAUAACUUCGGGAAACCGGAGCUAAUACCGGAUAAUAUUUUGAACCGCAUGGUUCAAAAGUAAAAGACGGUCUUGCUGUCACUUAUAGAUGGAUCCGCGCUGCAUUAGCUAGUUGGUAAGGUAACGGCUUAGCAAGGCAACGAUGCGUAGCCGACCUGAGAGGGUGAUCGGCCACACUGGAACUGAGACACGGUCCAGACUCCUACGGGAGGCAGCAGUAGGGAAUCUUCCGCAAUGGGCGAAAGCCUGACGGAGCAACGCCGCGUGAGUGAUGAAGGUCUUCGGAUCGUAAAACUCUGUUAUUAGGGAAGAACAUGUGUGUAAGUAACUGUGCACAUCUUGACGGUACCUAAUCAGAAAGCCACGGCUAACUACGUG
rnacentral:rRNA from 1 species